rnacentral:rRNA from 1 species
UACGAAGGGGGCUAGCGUUGCUCGGAAUCACUGGGCGUAAAGCGCACGUAGGCGGCUUUCUAAGUCAGGGGUGAAAUCCUGGAGCUCAACUCCAGAACUGCCUUUGAUACUGGAGAGCUAGAGUCCGGAAGAGGUGAGUGGAACUGCGAGUGUAGAGGUGAAAUUCGUGGAUAUUCGCAAGAACACCAGUGGCGAAGGCGGCUCACUGGUCCGGUACUGACGCUGAGGUGCGAAAGCGUGGGGAGCGAACAGG